AUCGGUGUCAUCCGGAGAGCCACGUUUCGGUUUAGAAUUCCUACGCUUUACCGUGUGAAAGGCUGGCAAAGCGUUUGGAUUCUGAAUCGAACCUUUGGCUGAGGCGUCGGUUUUAAUU
rnacentral:pre_miRNA from 15 species